rnacentral:rRNA from 1 species
AUGGCUGGAGUGGUGCGCCUAUGGAACGAUUGGGAGGUCCAAAUCCUAGUGCUUGUUAGCUUCAUGCUGCAAGUGUUCCUGCUCAUGUUUGCCAGGAUGCGACGGCGGAACAUCUCCAUCGUCCCAAGGACUCUCCUCUGGCUGGCAUACCUGCUGGCAGACUCCAUAGCGAUAUACAUCCUUGGCCACAUGUCCUUCUAUGGCAAGUCCCACGGGCACCAACAGCUCAUGGCAUUCUGGGCACCCUUCUUGCUGGUGCAUCUCGGUGGCCAGGACAACAUCACCGCCUACUCCAUAGAAGACAGCCAACUCUGGCCACGCCACCUGCUCUCUUUUAUCGUGCAGACGGUGGGGGUGGCUUAUGUCCUCUACAAGUAUGUUGCUGGCAGCUGGACCUUGGUCACAGGCGCAGCGCUGAUAUUUGUCAGCGGUGUUCUCAAGUAUGGGGAGAGAGUAUGGGCACUUAAGUCUUCCAGCCUGGAUAACAUGAGGAAGUUCCUUGACAGCAGGAAGUUGAGUGAGGCUAAACAAGGACAGAGACCACGGUGGGGCCAUGGGGAUAAUUUUGAUAUUGAAAGGGUUCUGCAGGGGGCUCAUGACCUUCUACCCAUUUGCAUGGCUCAGUUUGUGGACUAUAAGUUCUGGCCAUCUGCGUUCGAGAGUGAAGCCAUAGAGGUAUUCUAUAAGAAGGGUGAAAUGUUUGAGUUGGUUGAGAUGCAACUCUCCUUGAUGUAUGAUUUCCUAUAUACCAAGGCAGUGGUGGUCUUCACAUGGUAUGGAUGCUUCAUCCGUGCCGUUUCAUCAGUUGCCAGCAUCACCACUUUCUUCUUAUUUCAAUCAAGCAUUGGAAAAAAUGACUUCAACAGAGUUGAUGCCAUUGUCACAUACAUCUUAAUAGCUGGGGCUAUCCUCCUAGAGAUGACAGCUGUGUGGAAGGCAAUGGGAUCAACAUGGGCAUGUGCAUUGUUGCAUGCUAGAAGAUGGCAUCGGCUUCACAGGAUAGUCGUAUCUGUUCGGCGGCGUUUCAAGACUGCAGAAAGAAAUAGAAGAUGGUCAGGUUCCAUUGGACACCUGGAGUUACAUUACUCAUCUCUCGGGGGUGGAGGCUGCGUGAAGAGCUUGAGACGCAAAGAUUUAUGGAAGGUGUACCACUCCCUACCUAUCAUUUCAAAUGGCACUAAGAAGUUGGUGUUGGAAGUGGUAGAAAGAAUGGUGGAGAAAUGUGAAGGAAAAGAGGAUAUCAUGAGGAGUUACAAUGGUCAGUGUACCCUGAAUGCAUGGAGCGGAUUCUUCAAGGAUCCCACCUCACACGCGGGCAUUGAUUUUGAUGAAAAAAUCAUUUCCUGGUACUUUGCCACUGAAAUAUUCUUCUCAUGGUCAUCUCGUGAGGAAGAGCAUGGUUAUGUUGUGGAGGCAAUCAAGGAAUUGUCUAACUACAUGACAUUUCUCCUUGUUGAACGUCCCUACAUGCUGCCUAGCCCCGUUCGCCACGGAUUGUAUGCCAAUACUGAAGCAGCAUAUGUGGGGCUUGAUUUUUCUGAUAGGGAACGGAUUAGCAGAAAGUGGGGGCUGGACAGAACAAAAAAAAUGAUGGAUCUGGACAAAAGAACGGACAUGGGCGAGCUACUCAAAGCAAAGUGGAAGUUGGUCAUAAUAAGUGAGGAUCUGGACAUAACAAGGGAGGAUCUAGACGGAAGAAGGAAGGAACUAGACAGAACAAGGCCGGCUUUGCAACGUGAAGCGGAACUGAACGGUACAAGGGAGGAGUUGGACAGAAGUUGGGAGGAGCUGGAUAGAAGGAGGGAGGAGCUGGACAAUAUAAGGUUUGAGGUGGGCAUUUUAGAGGUGGGCACUACAAGGGAGAAGCUGGAGGUGCUAGACAGGAGAAGGGAAGAGCUAGACAGAAGAAGGGAGGGGCUAGACAGAACUAUGGUGGGGCUGUACAGAAUGGUUAAGGCGUACGGUAGAGAGAGGGAGCUGGAGAAGCCGAACAUAACAAUGGAAAAGCUAGAGGAGCUGGACAAAAAAAGUGAGGAUCUGGAGAGAAUAGGGCUGGAUUUGCUAUAUGAAGCGGAGCUGCACGGUACAAAGGAGAGGUUGGAGAGAAGUUGGGAGGAGCUGAAUAUAAGGAGGGGGGAGCUGGAUAUAAGGAGGGAGGAGCUUAAUAGAAGGAGGGAGGAGCUGUUCAAUUCAAGGUUUGAGGUGGCCAGGACAAGAGAAAAGAUGGAGGUGUUGAACAGAAGAAGGGAGGAGCUAGAUAGAACAAGGAAGGGGCUGGAGAGAAUGGUUUGGGAUUACCGUGGAGGGAGGGAGCGAGGGGAGCUGAACAGAACAAUGGAAAAGCUAGAGGAGCUGGACAGGAGAAUGGAGGAGCUGGACAGAAGAAGGCCGACUUUGCAACGUGAAGCAGAACUGAAAGGUAUAAAGCAGCUGGACAUAAGUUGGGAGGAGCUAGACAUAGAUUGGGAGGAGCUGAACAGAAGUGAGGAGCUGGACGAUUUAAGGUUUGAGGUGGGCACGACAAGGGAGAAGCUGGAGGUGCUGGAUAGAAGAAGGGAGGAGCUGGACAACAGAAGGGAGGUGCUGGACAGAAGAAGGGAGGGGCUGGACAGAAUAGUUAGGGCUUACAGAGGAGGGUGGGACCUGGACAUGACAAUGAAAAAUCUAGAGGAGCUAGACAAAAGAAGGGAGGAGCUGGAUAGAAGAAUAGAGGAUUUGGACAUAAGAAGGGAGGGGCUGAGCAGAAUAGAUAGGGCUUACGAUGAAGGGAGGGUGCUGGAGGAGCUGAAAAAAAUGAUGAAAAAGCUAGAGGAGCUUGAUAGAAGAAGGGAGGAGCUGGAUAGAAGAAGGGAUGAGCUGGACAAAAGAAGGUUUCGGAUUGACAAUAAAGGGGAGGAGAACCUAGACCUGGCCAGAAUAAUUAAAAAGUUAGACAGAAGAAUCGAGGAGCUGCGUUUCGGACCUCCACCCUCCUUAGUCCGUGGAGCGGGGCUUGUUGUUCGGCUAUUAGAGGCGGAGGCGCAGUGCGAGGUGGAGGCUGAGGCACGGAACGAGGCGGGGGUGGAGGCGUGGGGUAAGGCGGAGGUGCGGCGGGUGCUACUUGGGGUGUGGGUGGAGAUGCUAUGCUAUGCGGCCCACCACUGCAGUAGGGAUUCCCACGCUAGGCAGCUCAACAGUGGUGGUGAAUUCAUUACCAUUGUUUGGCUUCUGUCCACUGCCAUGUUCAAUCGUCGGUACAGUGAAGAGCAUUGGUUUAAGAAGGGCGUGCGGAAGUUCUUCAGGCCACCAUUCCGUCUUGAGCAGUAUGAGGACGAGGGUUGUAUGCUACCUCUUUGCUGCGGUAUUUAUAUUGUGUAG